AGUGGGUCGUUAGCUCAGUUGGUAGAGCAGUUGACUUUUAAUCAAUUGGUCGCAGGUUCGAAUCCUGCACGAC
rnacentral:tRNA from 2 species